CCGUGAGGUAACCGUAAGGAGCCAGCGGUCGAAGGUGGGAUUGGUGAUUGGGGUGAAGUCGUAACAAGGUAGCCGUAGGAGAACCUGCGGCUGGAUCACCUCCUUUCUAGGGAGA
rnacentral:rRNA from 1 species